rnacentral:rRNA from 1 species
UAAUGCCGGAUGUUCCAGUUGAUCGCAUGGUCUUCUGGGAAAGCUUUCGCGGUAUGGGAUGGGGUCGCGUCCUAUCAGCUUGACGGCGGGGUAACGGCCCACCGUGGCUUCGACGGGUAGCCGGCCUGAGAGGGCGACCGGCCACAUUGGGACUGAGAUACGGCCCAGACUCCUACGGGAGGCAGCAGUGGGGAAUAUUGCACAAUGGGCGCAAGCCUGAUGCAGCGACGCCGCGUGAGGGAUGGAGGCCUUCGGGUUGUAAACCUCUUUUAUCGGGGAGCAAGCGUGAGUGAGUUUACCCGUUGAAUAAGCACCGGCUAACUACGUGCCAGCAGCCGCGGUAAUACGUAGGGUGCAAGCGUUAUCCGGAAUUAUUGGGCGUAAAGGGCUCGUAGGCGGUUCGUCGCGUCCGGUGUGAAAGUCCAUCGCUUAACGGUGGAUCCGCGCCGGGUACGGGCGGGCUUGAGUGCGGUAGGGGAGACUGGAAUUCCCGGUGUAACGGUGGAAUG